GCACCGUUAGCUCAGUUGGUAGAGCAACUGACUCUUAAUCAGUGGGUCCAGGGUUCGAGUCCCUGACGGUGUA
rnacentral:tRNA from 1 species